rnacentral:ribozyme from 1 species
GAGUUGUAGUAACAAACACCAAAUCGCGUAAAUGCGUUUUCCUUUCCUUUUCGAGGAAGGAGAGCUUUUUUUGGUUGAAGAAAAGGACGACGAGACGACGACGUAAAAGAGGACGGCGCGACGAUUACGACGUUGCAGUCGUUGCAGUAU